UGGGGAAUCUUGCGCAAUGGCCGAAAGGCUGACGCAGCGACGCCGCGUGGGGGAUGAAGGUUUUCGGAUCGUAAACCCCUGUUGCCCGGGACGAACAGCCCUUUCGAGGGACUUGACGGUACCGGGUGAGGAAGCACCGGCUAACUCCGUGCCAGCAGCCGCGGUAAUACGGAGGGUGCGAGCGUUGUCCGGAAUCACUGGGCGUAAAGGGCGCGUAGGCGGUUGGGGAAGUCCGUGGUGAAAGCUCGUGGCUCAACUACGAGUCGGCCAUGGAUACUCCUUGACUUGAGCACUGUAGAGGCAGAUGGAAUUCCGGGUGUAGCGGUGGAAUGCGUAGAGAUCCGGAAGAACACCGGUGGCGAAGGCGGUCUGCUGGGCAGUAGCUGACGCUGAGGCGCGACAGCGUGGGGAGCAAACAG
rnacentral:rRNA from 1 species